AACUUUCAGCAACGGAUCACUUGGCUCUCGCAUCGAUGAAGAACGCAGCGAAAUGCGAUAUGUAAUGUGAAUUGCAGAAUUCAGUGAAUCAUCGAAUCUUUGAACGCACCUUGCGCCCCUUGGUAUUCCGAGGGGCAUGCCUGUUUGAGUGUCACGUCAACCCUCACCCUUGGGCCUCACCUCCCUCGGCGUGGAUUUGGACGCUGCCGUAGUUGGCUCGUCUUGAAAUGCAUUAGCCUCGCGUCAUUGGCCUCCGGCGAUCCGACGGUGUGAUAGUCUAUCUACAUCGUCAGUGUCGUGCCCUGUGCGGCUCAUAAUCGUCCUUUGUGGACAGCUUUCUUAGUGUUUGACCUCAAAUCAGGUAGGAUUACCCGCUGAACUUAAGCAUAUCAAUAAGCGGAGGCU
rnacentral:misc_RNA from 1 species